CAAAGAAAAGUCAUUUUUCCUCUUACUUCUAGUAAUAAAAAAAUGUCAUCACCUGUCAAAAAAUAAUGAAUUUAACUUAAUAAUUAUUCACUACUAAUCUGUUGAAGAUCCUCAGGGAAACUCUCUCUUUCCUUGUUUAACUUUUUGUUCUACAACUAAAUUAGUUUAAAUUUUUAAAAUCCAUGUUUUAAAUGUAACAUUAAUUAUGUCCAGACAUAAACAUUGAUUUUAUUGGUCUGAUGUAUUAUUUUAACUGAAUUUUAUGUUUUCAAAGAUUAUGGAUCAUCUGUAAAUAUAAUCAUUAAAGUGAACAGAAACAAACACUUGAAAUAUAUGUGUAAUAAAUCUAUGUAAUAUAUGAGUUUUUAACUGAAUUACUGCAAUGAAUAAACAUUUAGAUGAAAUUCUAAUUUAUUUUAUUUUGAAGAAGUUUUGUUACUUCAUACUUAAAACUAAACAUAACUGUCACCAGCAGGUGGCGCUGUUUAAUCACUAACUUCUCCACCCAUAAACCACCUUCCUCAACAAACAAUUCAUUCAACUAAAGUAAAAACCUUUGAGUUUUUUUACUGAAGCUGAAAAUAAUGAUGUCAAAGAAUGUAAAAAAAUAAAUGUUUACUUUAGUUUUGUACAAAAAGACAAAAACUGCAUCAAUAUUUUACAUAAUAACAAGACUGAUAAAAGGUCAAUAACAACACAGUUUAUUGAAUCCAAUCUUGGUUUUAUUAUUUGUCAUUUCUUUUUCCAGGAAGCUGCUCUUCAUCGUCUUCCAGCCUCUCAGCUGCUGUUCAGCCUCAUUCUGAGGGAACAUCUGACCUGCUUCUGGAAACCUCCUAUUACAGUUUCUAGCAGCCAUCACGCUGCUCCACCUACUCUGACAAUCUGUCCAACUAGCAACAGUAGCAGCAGGUCAUUCCUUGAAGCAGAACGGCUACAGCAGCAGAAGACCAGACUGAGUGCCACUCAGCUAAGAACAGGAAACCAAGACUACAGAUUGAAGAGGUUCACCUGGUAAAUAAUGGAUUGGAAAGUGUUUCCUGUUCUAAAGACGAUCAAUUUCAGCUUAGAAUUUGGUGUCAACAUGAACCAUGGAUCCAUCCUGUCAUAUCCAUGGUGGUUGUGUGCAGGUUGUGUGCAGGUUGGUUUUUUUUGCUGUGUUUUUCCUAUACAGGGUGUGACUGACAGGUGCUGCUGCACAGGUGUCGCUCAUCUGAGAGCAAUCAGCUGGCUUCUUAAGGAGUGGAAACCAGAGGGAGGCGUCAGCUUGUUGUCUCAUUCUGUGUGGUAAACAGCUAGACCUCGGCUGCUCUGCAGUCCUGCUUCCAAGCAUUUUUCUGAUCACCUUGUUUUUUCUCUUCUGCCUUGCAGAUCAAGCUUUUGCUGAAGGCUACUGUGGAUAUUUUCCUGUCUCCUGUUUUCACUCGUGUCAUGUUCAUGUUGUGGGAGCUUCAGCCUCGACGCCUCAGCUGUGAGCCUUCGCUCUGUUUUCUACUCCAAACCCCUGAAGAUCAUUCACCUGCCUGUCUGCCCUCCAACGCUGAUUCUCCAACCUCUGUGGCGUUUUCAAGAAAAGAAACACAAACGAAGGAGAAAAUCACCUCCUUCAGUCGUGCCUCCCUGUCAACCUCAGCCACCGUGGAGAAGACUUAUCUUUCCCAGGCCACUAAGUUCUCAACCUCACACUACUGGCCUUUAUUCAUCAGUAGCUCAACAGGAAGAAGGGCAAAGAAAGAAGGGGAGGACAGGAAAUGGCCCGUGGCUUGGAAUCGAACCCUGGACCGCUGCAUGGAGGACUGUAGCCUCUGCAUAUGAUGAACUGGCUCUACCCCUGAGCCACCUGGUGACCCUGCCUUUUCAGCCACCAGUUACAACCCCAGCAUGACCUCUCGCUCCAUCAGCUCUCUGGUGACAUCUGACGACCAGGCUGAGCAUGAGGCCAGCAGCCAGACACCAACUUCACCAUCAACUCCAUCAACACAGCAGCAGCUAAGAGAAGAAGAGGAGGGUAACGUCAAGUUGUCGUCUGAACUGAAAACUAUGAUCUGCUGGAGGAACUGUCUACAGUUCAGUUGUUGAUGCAGGUUUUUGUUCAUGUUUCAGUUGUGACAUCAUUUCUGUUCUGUUGCUACAAGUUGUUUGGACUUUUAGUUCUUUGGCUGAAUCUCACUGAUCAUCUUUGCCAAAACCAUCUAAAAUUAGGUUAGGUGAAUUAUGUUACUGAAACAAGAAAAUAUAAACAUACACAGAGUGAAGUACCCUCAAAGGUUUACACGCCCCCGUUUGAUGAAUUAUUUCUAAAUGUUUUUCACCUCAAGAUGAAUAUAUCUAUACUGUUCAAUAAAAAAAUGCAUUACAGGAAAAUCUACAAUAACUGACAUAACUGCACACUCUCACUAUUAAAACUGGUACUGAGUAAAAACCUAACAUUAAUUAUCCUGAUUCUGAAUAAACUAAAAUAAAUUAGUUCAUUUGGAUCAUUUAGGUGAAGUUAAAGUUUACAGAGAGGUUACAAAGGAUCAAAAGGAUCUCAUUGUACAAAGGUAUCAGUCAGGACAAGGUACAAAUAUACUCACCGCCACUUUAUUAGGUACACCUUGCUACUACCGGGUUGGACCCCCUUUUGC